rnacentral:rRNA from 1 species
GACGGAAGGUGCAAGCGUUGCUCGGAAUCACUGGGCGUAAAGGGUGCGUAGGCGGCUUGGUGGGUCUGGUGUGAAAGCCCCGGGCUCAGCCCGGGAAGGGCACUAGAAACUGCCGAGCUGGAGUGCCGGAGGGGAGAGUGGAAUUCCUGGUGUGGCGGUGAAAUGCGUAGAUAUCAGGAGGAAUACCGGUGGCGAAAGCGACUCUCUGGACGGCAACUGACGCUGAGGCACGAAAGCGUGGGGAGCAAACAGG